ACUCAGUUGGUAGAGUACAAAGCUCUUAACCUUAUGGACGUGGGUUCAAGCCCCAU
rfam:Triticum aestivum genome assembly, contig: Triticum_aestivum_CS42_TGACv1_scaffold_249423_3DL